GUGAUUCCUGCUGAAAUCAAUUAGCUAAGUGAAUUUACAAGGUCUGCAGUCACUAGAAUGAGGGAACUACGGAGAAUCAUAAUAAUGUCUGUUUGAAGGAGCGGGCUUGUUUUUUGGCCCCUGACAACGCAAUUACAGCCCCGCCGAUUGUCGUGUGUGUGCAUUAAGUACCUCCCCCAGAACGAGGCCGAUUAAUGAAGGGGCUCCUCAGGGGCCGAAGAAGAAGCCCCAGGCACCCACACACAGGAGAGGAACUGUUGUUAGGGGUCAGGCUGAUACACAUGCUCCAAAUGAAUGCAGCUUGACAUCGUCCUUCCCAAUUCAUUUCUGCUGCUUGGAAAAGAGAAGCAAUAACAUUUUGCUAAACUUCUUGCAUGCU